GAUGAACGCUGGCGGCGUGCCUAAUACAUGCAAGUCGAGCGAACAGACGAGGAGCUUGCUCCUCUGACGUUAGCGGCGGACGGGUGAGUAACACGUGGAUAACCUACCUAUAAGACUGGGAUAACUUCGGGAAACCGGAGCUAAUACCGGAUAAUAUAUUGAACCGCAUGGUUCAAUAGUGAAAGACGGUUUUGCUGUCACUUAUAGAUGGAUCCGCGCCGCAUUAGCUAGUUGGUAAGGUAACGGCUUACCAAGGCGACGAUGCGUAGCCGACCUGAGAGGGUGAUCGGCCACACUGGAACUGAGACACGGUCCAGACUCCUACGGGAGGCAGCAGUAGGGAAUCUUCCGCAAUGGGCGAAAGCCUGACGGAGCAACGCCGCGUGAGUGAUGAAGGUCUUCGGACCGUAAAACUCUGUUAUUAGGGAAGAACAAAUGUGUAAGUAACUAUGCACGUCUUGACGGUACCUAAUCAGAAAGCCACGGCUAACUACGUG
rnacentral:rRNA from 1 species